CACUCUUUCCCUACACCACGCUCAGACAGCCUCCACCUUCCUGGGUUUGACCUUGGAGCCUUCAGCAUCCUCUGCUCCUCCAUGUGCUUCCCACAGCAAGUCCGCCCAGGCGGGGUCCUGGGGAAGCCAGAGGGUCCUGCACCCCUGUUUGCAGUCAGACAUGACUCUUAGCCAGCCCGUAAAACAGAAGUUUUAUUAGAGUACAGGAACAUGAUCUAAAACAGAACUUGCAGGUACAGAGAACAGGACCCCUCAGCUGGGUCCAUUUUGGGGGGCAGUGAGCCAAACAACCACGUCUGCACUUUGCUCCACAUCCCCAGCCAGCCCCAUCCUCCAGCCCCUCCUCCUCUCAGCUUUGUCCGUUUCCCAGGCCAGGAGGUCACCCGAUUCCUUUGUUCUCCAACCCUUUAGCUAUUACCUUGUAGGGGGGAAGGGCCCAAGCCAUCAGUUGCCAGGAGACUGAGAGCGUUGCCCAUUUAUGUAUACUGGCCCUUUGCUUUGCAACAAUUACACUCCCUUAUCCCACCACUGAAAGACUUAAGAAAUACAUAGGGGAAACUGAGGCACCCCUACAAUAUUCAGAGGAAACAUUAAGAACAGUCCCGCUUCGUCACACUACUAAAAAAGUAUUAAAUAUUUUUUGUUUUUCAUGUCUGAAAAACAUACAGUUGACCAAAUUAAGGAAUGGAAUAGCCUCAGUUCAGUGAGAGAGAAUGUAUGACUCCCAUCAGUGGCAAUAAAACAAACUCACUCACUCAGAGAUCCAGCCGUGAAAAGUUAGUGAUGAGAGAAAUGAUUCCUAAUUUAAAAGAUAAUUCCUUAGACAGCAUAAUUAUCUGGUAAGUAGAUUUGCAGAAGUAAAUUUUUUUUUUUUAAUAUUAACUUACAAGGAUAUUUUAAGUGUUAUAUACAACCAUUAAAAUUUGAUACUGUAUGUUAAAUGUUAUUUGGUGCUGCAAAUUCAUGGCCAAACCCUAAGUAAGGUGUGCACUGUUAUGCUCUUGUUUAACCAGAAGGUAAGCCCUAAGAUGCACCAUCACCUUAUAAGGGGAAGUCUCUGCUUUCAA